UACAGAGGUCCCAAGCGUUGUUCGGAUUCAUUGGGCGUAAAGGGUGCGUAGGUGGCGCCGUAAGUCGGGUGUGAAAUCUCGGGGCUUAACUCCGAAACUGCAUCCGAAACUGGCGGUCUGGAGUAGUGGAGAGGAAAGCAGAAUUCCUGGUGUAGAGGUGAAAUGCGCAGAUAUCAGGAGGAACACCGGUGGCGAAGGCGGGUCUCUGGGCCGAAAUUGACGCUGAGGAGCGAAAGCGUGGGGAGCAAACAGG
rnacentral:rRNA from 1 species